rnacentral:lncRNA from 1 species
CUCAGUAUCACCAUUGGCAGAGGUGUAAUUCACCAUGUACCUAUCUAUGAGAGCCAGAACCCUGUCCCAGGAGAUGGUGACUGUGUCCUCUGUCACUUGAUCAGUCACCAGGUGAGUGGGGCUGUCAAUUUCUGUCACAGCCUCAGUGCUGGCCCUCUUGCUCUGUUGUUCUCCCUUUUCUGCCCAGAUGUGAAUAACAUACUCCAUGCCUGGCUCCAGUCCUGCCAAGGUGGUAACAUUCUUGUCUUUCUCCACUUCUCUCUCCUCUGUA